AUGUUACCUUAUACAGUGAUAUUGCAGCAAGAAGCUGCACCUAUGGCUGAGGCUCAUGCUCUCCGGGACGGUUUGCUAUUGGCAGGAGAUAUGGGAUCUAAUCGUAUUGUUGUUCAGUCCGACUGCCUGGAGGUUGUGGAGACCAUGCGAUCAGACGGCAAUUCAAUAGGCCAAACAGCAGCAGUUUAUGAAGAAUGCACCUUCUUAUGUCGUGGUUUCGCUAGAGUUAAGUUUGAUAAUUGUCCGACGGAAGCCAAUAGGGCAACGCAUAUACUAGCUAAUAAUGCAGUUGGAUACCUUGUUAGCUUGUGGCAACACGAUCCCCUUGUUGGAGGGAACUAUUUUGACUAA
rnacentral:rRNA from 1 species